rnacentral:rRNA from 1 species
GUGCCANCAGUCGCGGUAAUACGGAGGGGGCUAGCGUUGUUCGGAAUUACUGGGCGUAAAGCGCGCGUAGGCNGAUCGAUCAGUCAGAGGUGAAAUCCCGGAGCUCAACUUCGGAACUGCCUUUGAUACUGUCGAUCUGGAGUCCGGGAGAGGUGCAUGGAAUUCCGAGUGUAGAGGUGAAAUUCGUAGAUAUUCGGAGGAACACCAUAGGCGAAGGCGAUGCACUGGACCGGUACUGACGCUGAGGUGCGAAAGCGUGGGGAGCNNACAGGAUUAGAUACCCUGGUAGUCCACGCCGUAAACGAUGAGAGCUAGUUGUCAGGCAGCAUGCUGUCUGUGACGCANCUAACGCAUUANGCUCUCNGCCUGGGGAGUACGGCCGCAAGGUUAAAACUCANAUGAAUUGACGG